rnacentral:lncRNA from 1 species
CCUGUGGUGCACGAAAUUUAAUAAAAAAAUCAAUAACGGAAAGUGUAUACUACGCAGUAGAUUUAAAUUCAGUGAUUGAAGUCGUCCAAGAACAUAGUAAAUAUGUGACGCUCCAUUUUACACACACACACACAUAGAACUUUAUGUUAUUUUGAUAGCAUAUAUUAUUGCCCUUCUUUUAUGUUUUCUGCCAGUCCCAAUCAACAAUAAUCCAUCCGAACUAACGUGUAGACAAGAAGAAUUUGAAAUACUCAAAUCCUUCAAUAAUAUACGAUCAAAACUCUGAACAGAAGGACCUAGUACAUGUAUGAAAUCCUCAAACUUGUCUAAUAAAAGAAUUUGGUUUGAAGAAGUAAGUGUCAG